UUUUCAACGAACUUUAUUUAAAAACAAGCAGGGACUAAUUGAUCAACAGCAGCUUCGUCUCCUGUUCAAAGCUUCAAAUUGCAACUACUAAAUUGGAAAAUGGCAGAAUGACAACAGAGUUACCCUGUAGCCUGAUCUUCUUUGACCGCAGAAGAUAAGCCAGUUUGGUCCUCAUCAGAACUGUGGCCACUAAAAAGAAACAAGUUGCUGCUGUAACUUACAAUACAGUGUACACUAAGUAGUGUUGGUGGAUCAGGAGGUGAGACAUGAAACCAAGGAAAUGACUACUUAAUCAUUAAAUAUUCAAAGACACUGUAUAUACAUCUAGUGGUGCAUUAACAGUGUCCUUGCAAAAUUGUAGGGCACAGGUUCAAGGCACCCAGUUCCAGUGGCAGCAAAGCAACCCCCAAAACAUCACUGAACCUCCUCCAUGUUUCACUGUAAGUGUUCUUUUCUUUGAAGGCUUCAUUUUGUUUAAAAGAGUGCCUUGAACGUGUGCACGGCAUCAUGAAAUCAGGAGAAUACCAAGGCAUUUCGGAGUGCAGUGUCAUACCCAGUGUCAGAAAGCUGGAUCUCGUCGAAGGUCAUGGGUCUUCCAGCACGACAAUGACCCCAAACACACUUCAAAAAAGAUCCAGGAAUGGUUCAAGACAAAUCACUGGACGGUUCUAAAGUUUCUAGCAAUGAGUCAAGAUCUAAAUCCCAUUGAAAACCUGUGGAGAGAUCUGAAAACAGCAACUGGGAGAAGGCACCCCACAAAUCUGGGAGAACUGGAGCAGUUUGCACAAGAAGAGUGGGCCAAACUGCCAGUACAGAGGUGCAGGAAGCUCAUUGAUGGCAAUAGGAAGCGCUUGAUUGCACUUAUUUUGACCAAAGGCUGUGCUACCAAAUAUUCAGUCUGGAUUGUCAAUAAUUUUGUCAAUGCCAUUUCUUUUAAUUUUCUGAUGUAAAAGGAUAUAUUAAGUCCUGAAUCAAAAACAAAGGUUUUGUAAUAUUAACAGUGAAAUAAAGAAUUGUAGAGACCAA